rnacentral:rRNA from 1 species
GACGAACGCUGGCGGCGUGCUUAACACAUGCAAGUCAAGGGGGCCCGCAAGGGUAACCGGCGAACGGGUGCGUAACACGUGAGCAAUCUGCCUAGAUGUGGGGGAUAGCCGGCCCAACGGCCGGGUAAUACCGCAUACGCUCGUCGACUGGCAUCAGUUGACGAGGAAACUUUCGAGGCAUCUAGAGGAGCUCGCGGCCUAUCAGCUAGUUGGUGGGGUAACGCCUACCAAGGCGGUGACGGGUAGCUGGUCUGAGAGGAUGGCCAGCCACAUUGGGACUGAGAUACGGCCCAGACUCCUACGGGAGGCAGCAGUGGGGAAUAUUGCGCAAUGGCCGAAAGGCUGACGCAGCGACGCCGCGUGGGGGAUGAAGCAUUCGGUGUGUAAACCCCUGUUGCUCGGGACGAACAAGCCUUUUCGAGGGCUCUGACGGUAUCCUGUGUAAGCCCCGGCUAACUCCGUGCCAGCAGCCGCGGUAAU